CGGACGUGAGCAAUCUGCCUUUAAGAGGGGGAUAACAGUCGGAAACGGCUGCUAAUACCGCAUAAAGCAUCAAAUUCGCAUGUUUUUGAUGCCAAAGGAGCAAUCCGCUUUUAGAUGAGCUCGCGUCUGAUUAGCUGGUUGGCGGGGUAACGGCCCACCAAGGCGACGAUCAGUAGCCGGACUGAGAGGUUGAACGGCCACAUUGGGACUGAGACACGGCCCAG
rnacentral:rRNA from 1 species